UGGUCUUUUUUGUUUUAAUAGGCAUUACAAGAAUUUGAGGCUUUGUGUGGAAAUGGCGAUGUAGAGUCCAUCAAGACAGCUCUUCCCUUUUGGCCUAGAUUGUAUGCAAAGUUAACCAUUGAUGUGGAGAGAAGAGUGAGAGAGGCUGCCCAGAUUGCUCAUGGAGCCCUAGUAUCACAAGUGGGUAAACAGCUUGCCCCUCAUCUCCGUUCCAUCAUGCCUUCAUGGGUAAUGGGUAUGGUAGAUCCACACCCAGCAGCCUCUUCAGCAGCUCUGAAAGCACUCCAGGAUGUCUUUGCUGCUGAGAAGAUAGCAGAAGUUAUGAUUUUCAGCGGGAAGGAAAUUGCUGAGCACAUCAAAGACAACCUUUUUAUUCAGACACCACAGACCUUAUCAGAUGCCAA